AUUCAGGUCGAAGCCCAAAUCCAUUCCUAGAGGCCCAAGGUAUUUUUUUUAUAAAAACCCACAUUUAUCCACUUUAGUUCCUCACAAACUUUAUGCAAAAGAAGAAGAAGAGUUAGAGAGAGAGUGAGCUAAGAGAAGAGGUGUGAUCUUUUACAGUGAGUGGGUCGCCGGAGCUCGUCGCCGGAGCAACCGUGUGCCGUGAUCACGUUCAGCUCGACACCACCGUUCGCAACCCUAGACCACCAUCGUGUUCCUCUCGUCUAGACGAAGCCGUAGACACCAACCACGCCGCAAUCGGAGCCCGGACGAAACCGCUAGAGCCUCCCGAAGUUUAGUUUCUGCGCGGGCGUGAAACGCACGCGCCGUUGCCGUCCGCCGGAGCCACCGCGCAUUCCGGCCACUCGCUGCCGUCUCCGACCAACGUUCGCCGGAGCCGCCGUGACCGGCCACCGUCCGUUUGCCGCCGAGAAGCUGCCGCCGCGUCGCCGCCUCGCCGCCGUUGAUUUUCCGGUGAGACCGAUGAGCAGGAGUGAUUAUACCGGACCAGUGCUUUUGGGCUUUUACUACUAUCGAGCUUUGGACUUCUAUCACUUUUAUCGUUUUAUCGCUUUUGGGCCUUUGGGCUCCUAUCUAUCGUUUAUGUUAUCUCGUAUUUUGGACUUUUGGUUUAUGUCGUACUUUAUAUUUCGAAUGUUAUCGUUGUUGGGCCUUUAGGCCUUGUG